rnacentral:lncRNA from 1 species
UGACAAGUGUUGCCCGGCCUCUAGGGGGCGCCCGCGGUCCAUGCCCUGAAGUGGAUCCCUAUGUUGUGGAGGACUCCUUUCCUUUCAGCCUUUAGUAGUCACUUUAGGCUGUGAAAGCGCUCUCCUGGCCCAAACCCUGUGCACCUCACUGUGAAUCUUAUGGUGGGGGAGAGAAGGGAGCAUGAUAUUAACACUGCCUGUGGUGUCCAGGUGGGGAAACUGAGGCUCGGGGGACUUUACUGCAAACUGAAUCACUUUUAACCUUUCAAGAUUGUGGACCCACUGGGAGUGGUGGCACAUGCUUGUUAUCCUGGCACUGUGUAGACUAAGGCAAGAGGAUUGCCACAAGUUCGAGGCCAGCUUGGGCUACAUAGCCAGACUUUGUCUCAAAGAACAAAAAACAAAAGAUAUGGACCCAAUGAUGAGACCAAACGCUGAUCUCCAGUGAAGGAAAUGUUUGUCUUGGCCAAGAAAGGAAGUCCAAGAUAACACUUAAAAUCAACCUCUCAACUCAUCGAGGCUCUGGAGAUCAUAGAGUUGUGAAACCGAAGAUCAGAUGGAGCCCCAGUUAAGGAGCAAAGAUUCUGCUCUUGGCCAAGAGUAAGGGAAAUGGGAGAUGACGUCGCCGAUCUGCUUCCCACCCGUUGGUGUCGGGUCCCGCGGGGGAACGCGAUCCUGCUGUGUCACGGAGCUGUCACCGCGCCCAGAGUUGGCCAGUCCCACACAGCCAAGUUUCAGCCAAUCAUACACAGUUGAAUGGACAGACCACACCCACCGUGACAAGCACCGCAGAGCCAAUCAGAAGAUUUCUCUACUUUGUUUCCGGUUUGGCCCAGUAGAGCCAAACAGCCCCUUCUGUUGCUUCCCGAAAGCACUGAAUGUUUUCUGGUUCUGAG